CUUAGCUCUAGCAGCAAGGG
rnacentral:snRNA from 1 species